UAGACCAGACCCAAUUAUUGUCCGUCCGAUUAAAAUAGGCGGUCUAUAAUGGAUCCUUGCUGGCGACCCAUAAACUGUCACGUUGUGUUGAUUGGGCCUUUCUCUCGUGGUGGCUGCCCCAAUAUUUAUUUAUUUGGCUCCCUUCGCUACGCCAAUUUCUCUCUCUCUCUCUGUUGUUUUUACGAAACUUCCAUUCCUCUGCCAGAGAAAAUGAGCAAGGGACCUGGACUUUUCUCUGAUAUUGGCAAGAAAGCCAGAGAUGUUUUGACUAAGGACUAUAUUUCCGAUCAGAAACUAUCUAUUUCAACCUACAGUGACACUGGAGUGGCCCUUACAUCAACUGCAGUGAAGAAGGGAGGGCUUUCAACUGGAGAUGUUGGAGCACAAUACAAAUAUAAGAAUACUUUAAUUGAUGUCAAAGUUGAUACAGCGUCAAACAUUUCAACCACUCUUACUCUAAAUGACAUUGCCCCUUCAACGAAAACCAUUGCCUCACUGAAAUUCCCUGACUACAGUUCUGGGAAGCUAGAGGUUCAGUACUAUCACCAUCAUGCUGCAUUUAGUACAGCUGUUGGUCUGAAACAAAACCCUAUAGUUGAUCUCUCUGUCACGCUUGGUACUCCCACUUUCGCCAUCGGUGCAGAGGCAAGUUACGAGACAGCCGAAGGUAAACUUGCAAAAUAUACCGCUGGCAUUAGUGUGACAAAACCAGAUUCUUGUGCUGCUAUAAUACUGGGUGACAAAGGGGACACAAUAAAAGCAUCAUAUAUACAUCAUCUAGAUGAAUUGAAGAAGAGUGCAGCUGUGGGCGAGAUCACUCGACGGUUCUCCACAAAUGAGAACACCUUCACAGUUGGAGGGUCAUAUGCUGUUGAUAACCUGACAAUUGUGAAGCUCAAGCUCAAUAAUCACGGUAACCUGGGGGCUCUACUGCAGCAUGAGCUGAUUCCGAAGUCAUUGUUGACUAUUUCUAGUGAGUUUGACACCAAGGCCUUGGAAAAGACUCCCAAAUUUGGUGUGGCCCUUGCUCUGAAGCCGUGAACUGCAUUUUUGGAUGUGAACAACUAACAUUUUUUGGGGUUAGUGCCUGGAGGAGAGGUGUUCAAUAAGUAGUUCGAUAAACUUGUGGUUUUUUCCCCCCUCAAUUUAUAUGGUUUCUGAAUGAGUUGCUCUGAUUCUAGGGCCUCUUUAUGGUAUUUCUCUAGUUUUCCCCGUCUUCUACAUUUCCCCUCGGAGAAAGACCAAGUGUUUGAUGUGUUCCCUCUGGAAGAGCUUUUUCUUUUGAUAUGGUGCAAUAGAGUAAAUUUCCCCAAAAGCAAUAGCUUUCAGGCCUUUCGACAUCUCCAGCAAAUAAAAACUGUAGUUCCACAGCUCAGAACAAACUAGUGUUUGCUGACAACUACCAAUAUCGUUGAGGCGCAUUUGAAGUAGAUGAAACGCUCAAGUUUGUUUUCAUUUCAUUUACCCAGUAACAUCGCAUACUGCUACUGGAGGGAUCAUAAUUUGCGGAGGGUGAUAUAUAGGGAUUCACCUAUAUGCAGGGAGGGGAGUGUGUUGAUUCUUCACUGAGAUUCAUAGGAACCAAGAGCAUUCAAAAUGAUAUGAAUCUAAAGGACAAGAAAAUUGAAAUAUAAAUGAAGAAAUAGAACGAGAUACAACAAAACAAAAAGACUAUUACCAGUUGCACACAGGAAAACAAGCUUGAAGUCGCAAGUUUUUAUCUCACCUAUAAAUUAGACUUGUGGAAUUGUAAUUUAAGUUGAACACUUCAAACUAACCAAAGAGAAGAUAUGCUGAUUCUUAUUUCAA